rnacentral:rRNA from 1 species
AUACGUAGGGUGCAAGCGUUAAUCGGAAUUACUGGGCGUAAAGCGUGCGCAGGCGGUUUUGUAAGACAGAGGUGAAAUCCCCGGGCUCAACCUGGGAACUGCCUUUGUGACUGCAAGGCUAGAGUACGGCAGAGGGGGAUGGAAUUCCGCGUGUAGCGGUGAAAUGCGUAGAUAUGCGGAGGAACACCGAUGGCGAAGGCAAUCCCCUGGGCCUGUACUGACGCUCAUGCACGAAAGCGUGGGGAGCAAACAGGAUUAGAUACCCUGGUAGUCCACGCCCUAAACGAUGUCAACUGGUUGUUGGGUCUUCAUUGACUCAGUAACGAAGCUAUCGCGUGAAGUUGACCGCCUGGGGAGUACGGCCGCAAGGUUGAAACUCAAAUGAAUUGGCGGGG